rnacentral:rRNA from 1 species
GUCUGUGGCCAUGCCACCCUGAACAAGCCCAAUUGCAUCUGAUCUCGGAAGCUAAGCAGGGUCGGGCCUGGUUAGUACUUGGAUGGGAGACCACCUAGGAAGAUCAGGUGCUGUAGGCG